rnacentral:tRNA from 1 species
UCCGUGCUGUAGCUUAGUGGUAGAGCGUCCGACUGGUGUGCGGAAGGUCAUAGGUUCGACUCCUGUUGGAGGAA